AUUGAACGCUGGCGGCAUGCCUUACACAUGCAAGUCGAACGGUAACGCGGGGCAACCUGGCGACGAGUGGCGAACGGGUGAGUAACGCAUCGGAACGUGCCCAGUAGUGGGGGAUAGCCCGGCGAAAGCCGGAUUAAUACCGCAUACGACCUACGGGUGAAAGCGGGGGACCGUAAGGCCUCGCGCUAUUGGAGCGGCCGAUGUCAGAUUAGGUAGUUGGUGGGGUAAAGGCCUACCAAGCCGACGAUCUGUAGCUGGUCUGAGAGGACGACCAGCCACACUGGAACUGAGACACGGUCCAGACUCCUACGGGAGGCAGCAGUAGGGAAUAUUGGACAAUGGGCACAAGCCUGAUCCAGCCAUGCCGCGUGAGUGAAGAAGGCCCUCGGGUUGUAAAGCUCUUUUGUCCGGAAAGAAAAGCGCCGGGUUAAUACCCUGGUGUCCUGGCGGUACCGGAAGAAUAAGCACCGGCUAACUUCGUGCCAGCCGCCGCGGUAAAAC
rnacentral:rRNA from 1 species